rnacentral:rRNA from 1 species
GACGAACGCUGGCGGCGUGCUUAACACAUGCAAGUCGAACGGAAAGGCCCUGCUUUUGUGGGGUGCUCGAGUGGCGAACGGGUGAGUAACACGUGAGUAACCUGCCCUUGACUUUGGGAUAACUUCAGGAAACUGGGGCUAAUACCGGAUAGGAGCUCCUGCUGCAUGGUGGGGGUUGGAAAGUUUCGGCGGUUGGGGAUGGACUCGCGGCUUAUCAGCUUGUUGGUGGGGUAGUGGCUUACCAAGGCUUUGACGGGUAGCCGGCCUGAGAGGGUGACCGGCCACAUUGGGACUGAGAUACGGCCCAGACUCCUACGGGAGGCAGCAGUGGGGAAUAUUGCACAAUGGGCGGGAGCCUGAUGCAGCAACGCCGCGUGCGGGAUGACGGCCUUCGGGUUGUAAACCGCUUUCGCCUGUGACGAAGCGUGAGUGACGGUAAUGGGUAAAGAAGCACCGGCUAACUACGUGC